CACAGUGCAGAUUAUCUGUGAUUUUGCUUUUGACAGAAAACUAUUUCCAUAAAUUCUGUUGGAUUAAGAAAAAGAUUAUUGUUGCAUUUUAAAAAAAUAUUUAGAUAUUUAGAAACGCAAAGCUUACUAUACUUGCUGUAAAUUUCUGGAAGACAUUUCUGCUGCAAUGCAAAAAAGAUUCUGCACCAAAGAAAUCUACAUCUUUAGACAAUAUGUAGAAAGUCCAUUUGCCUUUGACUUAGCCCUUCUAGAUGUGGUUUCUUUUGUUGCCUAAAGGUAUACUUAGAUACAGUGAACUAGAUUCCCCAGACGAAUCAAUAUUGUUUAUCUACUUUUAUAUCUGUAAAUAUUUAUUUUAUAAUUAUUUAUAUUUGGUAAAGAUUAUUUUGAAAAAAAGAUGUUGCAGUGACACCACACGACUUUUUGAUUUCUAUUUAUUCCAUUCCAGAUACUCAAAAGCAGCAGCAGCGACAUCCAUUGCGAGAGUCUCGGCGCUGAUCAGUGUGUUCAUCUUGUUCAGCUGUCUGGGUUGUUUGACGGAGCAGGUUCUGCUGUGGUCCGCCGGACCAGGGCGAUGCCGCCUGUACGGACCCUCCGAUUCUUGGUCCCAUUCGUGAAUGCGCUCAGGCCAAGCAUCACGCCGGCGAAGCAGCUCAGCACCGCCAGCAGCAUAAAGGCCCGUGUAGCAUCCCAGAAGGCUGGAAAGGGUUGCUGGCUGUAACAGUGUGCCUAUCCUUUUAAAGCCCUGUACCCCUGACUCAUUGUCCACAUCACAAAAGAGGGAAUGAUCGAGCGCAGCAUCUCAUCACACCUGACAGUUCAUCUCAUGAUGCCCAACCCCCACUUUUGGUCACACCACACCAGUGAUGGGAGUGUGCAGGACAGGGAUUAGUGGCCCUCCUAAGCAAAAACAACCUAGGCAAUGGCCUCGAGCAAAAACGUAAGUAUUUGUGCACCCAACGCCUUGCAAAUGUCUUUGAUGCAGGUGUGUGUAUCUUGCACUUACCUGCGUGCAUGCAGAGACGUGUGUGUGUGUGUGGCCCCAACAUACAUUCAAGCAAACACUGCUAUCAAACACAGAGAAAUUAAAAACACAUUUAAAAUUUUCAUUUUAAUUUGUACGUUCUAUUUGGCAAAAGAAA